UUUAUAACUCUGGCAUAAACAGAUACCUUUACCUUGUGGAUAGAGUUGAACCUGCUAUUAUAUUUAAUUGCAAACGUUUGGGUUUUCUAUAAAAGAUUAAUAAUUUAAUUGCUAUGGUGUAGAAAAGUUGCAAUAUAUGGGCCCAUGGUAGCUCUGAUCACUGUAGUUGGAAAUUCAGUUGUUACUAAAGGACUGUGGCAUGCCCAUGCAUUUUGGACAUACUAUUGUCUAGCUCGAUAUUUUAAUUUGAUUUCCUAUUUUGUCCUCCUUUAAUGGGCCUCAAUGCCUCAUUUCUUAUUUAUCAUUGUAAGAAUUUGUGACUUUUUGAAUACAGGAUCAAAAAAUAUGACCCAUUUUGAAGGUUGUUAUAUAAGUAAAUCUGGUAGUGCCUAUAAUUUUGGUUCCAGUAACAAUUGUUCUUGGGAGCAUUUUGGUAGGCUUGGUGUAUGACCUUGUUGCAUCCCUGAUGGCAACAUUUGAGGUUGUUGGGGAGGGACAUGAAGAUAAAUUUAUUCAUUGCAUUGUGGUAUGCUUCACUUAUCUCAUUCUGAUGAUUACCCUUGGUUUGUUCAAUUUCUUGUAUUGAAUCCUUUUCAAAAAUUAAAUUAUUCAAUU